rnacentral:tRNA from 1 species
GCUUUUGUGGUGUAGUGGUUAGCACAUUCGGCUCAUAUUCGAGAGGUCCAGGUUCGAGUCCCAGCGAGGGCA